UUGACGGCCACAUAGAAGGAAGUCCUCUGAUACAACACAGGCAUGAUCACUGAAGCUUCCCUACACUGCCCCCACCAAUGUGCUUCAAACUUGUUCUGGAGCGGCUAGAGGCUAGUUCAGUCUCACUGUCCAUUGAAUCUUUAGCCUCU
rnacentral:sRNA from 1 species